rnacentral:rRNA from 1 species
CUUUACUGCAGGCUGAUACUGUCACUUGGCAUGUUUUGUGUAGGAUAGGUGGGAGGCUUAGAAGUCGGUACGCCAGUAUCGAUGGAGCCAUCCUUGAAAUACCACCCUGAACCUGUUAGGUGUCUAACGCUGUCCCGUGAAUCCGGGCGGCGGACAAUGUCAGUUGGGCAGUUUGACUGGGGCGGUCUCCUCCCAAAGUGUAACGGAGGAGCUCAAAGGUACCCUCAGCCUGGUUGGCAAUCAGGCGAAGAGCGUAAAGGUAGAAGGGUGCUUGACUGCGAGACAAAUAAGUCGAGCAGAAACGAAAGUUGGACUUAGUGAUCCGGCGGUUCCGAAUGGAAGGGCCGUCGCUCAACAGAUAAAAGGUA